rnacentral:lncRNA from 1 species
CGCUCCCAUGAUUCAGUUAUCUCCCACCAGGUUUCUCCCUCAACACGUGAGAAUUAAGGAAGUACAAUUCCAGAUGCGAUCUGCGUGGGGACACACAGCCAAACCAUAUCAGGGAGAACUCCAAGAUGAAAUGCAGAUUGCCCAAAAAGUAGGCAAGAUGGUCUCCUGGGGCACAGAAAGAACUUUUAGAACUUCUAUUUACAUUCACAUUUCAUCUCAUGCUUUUUAAAUUUAUAUUUUUGAGCAUGUUUUAUAAUGUACAUAAUUUAUUAGUUUGAUACAAACAUGUAAUGUCUUAUAAAUAAAAUAAACAUUUUGGUAUCUAG